rnacentral:rRNA from 1 species
UACGAAGGGGGCUAGCGUUGCUCGGAAUUACUGGGCGUAAGGGGAGCGUAGGCGGAUAGUUUAGUCAGAGGUGAAAGCCCAGGGCUCAACCCUGGAAUUGCCUUUGAUACUGGCUAUCUUGAGUGUGGGAGAGGUUAGCGGAACUCCGAGUGUAGAGGUGAAAUUCGUAGAUAUUCGGAAGAACACCAGUGGCGAAGGCGGCUAACUGGCCCAUUACUGACGCUGAGGCUCGAAAGCGUGGGGAGCAGACAGG